CGCGAUUUGUAAGUUUCACCUGCUGCGUCAGAAUACUGGUUGUUAAUUCCUGUUUGCGUCUCCUAACAGUUUCUACGCCUUAUUCGUAGGGGGGUUUUUUCACGUGACCGAAGCCUUCUAUUGAUUCCUUCCUAGAAGAGGGUGCAUGCGCACCCUCGUCGAUUAUCACUUUCAUCCCUUCUCUCUCUCUCUCUCUUCUCGUUCACAUAUAUUAAAUACAUAUGCACCCCCUCUCCCCUUCACCCCCCUUGCCCCUUGCUCCCUUUGAUUCCUCCAAAUACGAAGAGGGGGUUGGAACACGCUAAGGCGCUGACUUCGGUCAGCAGAACGUGUUGGGUGUCCAGUAGAAAUCCUCCUAGUGGUGGGAGCUUUUAAUGGGGGAAGGGGGUUGGAAGAAGAAUGGAGGGGAAAACGGUGGUUCGUAGUGGAGAAAUCUGACAGUGUCACUUCCUUGGUGGUUCCGUACGAUACGUUCAUUAUUAUUUAUCCAACGUUCUCGUCUAAAACUCUCGUCAUGAUUAAAUCGUCGCUUUGUUAAGGGUGGAAGCGUAGUAAAGGUCGAAGAAAAAAGGGCCUGGACCAUGUCAGGGCGAGGGGCGGAGUGGUGACCUAAAACUCAUCCCUCUGCGUCGAGACCCUCGAUGCUUACGCUACGGCUGGUGUCGACUCAUUUCUUGAAGCAGCCAUAGGCAGUGCCCUUCGCCUAAGAGAAAGGGCUCUAAAUGCGAUGUGCCGUGAUAGAGACAUGAACUCAGAGCUAAUCGAGUCAUACGAACUCUUGUUAACGUCGUCUUCUUGCUUCUACUCUCGUUGAAUGUCGCGUCAUAAUAAUCAUAAUAAUAAUAAACAAAAA
rnacentral:lncRNA from 1 species